rnacentral:rRNA from 1 species
GAUGAACGCUGGCGGCGUGCCUAAUACAUGCAAGUCGAGCGAACAGAUGAGGAGCUUGCUCCUCUGACGUUAGCGGCGGACGGGUGAGUAACACGUGGAUAACCUACCUAUAAGACUGGGAUAACUUCGGGAAACCGGAGCUAAUACCGGAUAAUAUAUUGAACCGCAUGGUUCAAUAGUGAAAGACGGUUUUGCUGUCACUUAUAGAUGGAUCCGCGCCGCAUUAGCUAGUUGGUAAGGUAACGGCUUACCAAGGCAACGAUGCGUAGCCGACCUGAGAGGGUGAUCGGCCACAGUAGAACUGAGACACGGUCCAGACUCCUACGGGAGGCAGCAGUAGGGAAUCUUCCGCAAUGGGCGAAAGCCUGACGGAGCAACGACGCGUGAGUGAUGAAGGUCUUCGGAUCGUAAAACUCUGUUAUUAGGGAAGAACAAAUGUGUAAGUAACUAUGCACGUCUUGACGGUACCUAAUCAGAAAGCCACGGCUAACUACGUG